rnacentral:piRNA from 1 species
UCCCAUUCAGGAUGGGGCUUUCCGUUCAGU